rnacentral:rRNA from 1 species
GACGAACGCUGGCGGCGUGCUUAACACAUGCAAGUCGAACGGAAAGGCCCUGCUUUUGUGGGGUGCUCGAGUGGCGAACGGGUGAGUAACACGUGAGUAACCUGCCCUUGACUUUGGGAUAACUUCAGGAAACUGGGGCUAAUACCGGAUAGGAGCUCCUGCUGCAUGGUGGGGGUUGGAAAGUUUCGGCGGUUGGGGAUGGACUCGCGGCUUAUCAGCUUGUUGGUGGGGUAGUGGCUUACCAAGGCUUUGACGGGUAGCCGGCCUGAGAGGGUGACCGGGCACCAUGGGACUGGGGUAACGGCCCGGAUCCUACCGGGGGGAAGAGGUGGGAAAUUUGGCAAAAGGGGCGGAGGCUGGUGGAACCACCGCCGGGGGGGGAAUACCGGCUUUCGGGUGGUAAACCGUUUUGGCUUGGGAGGAGGCGUGGUGGAGGUAAAUGGGUAAAAAGGCACGGCUAAAUUAGUG